UCUUCUCUUCAACCCUAACCUAAAACCCUAGCUGCGGUUUUUCUUUCCAGUCUUGUAAAACCCUCAUUAAUCAUAGCCAAUGUUUUAGUUAUCAUCUGAAUCUAUAAAUCUGUCUAAUUUCAAGAUAUAUGUUUGUAAUUUCUGGUGGGUUUUGAUCUGUUUUUCAAAUCUGUACAUGAAGUGAGCCUUUCUUUUGCAAUGUCUGCUUACACAUACUCAGGGAAAUAAACAAAAUCAAGCUUGAGAUUUGCUUCAUAAAUCAGUCGUGAGGGAAGAAUUGAUAAGUAUUGCUAAGCGUUUUGAGUCUGGUAUAUCAGUCUUUACCCCAAAUUUUGGUUGUAUGAUUUUUUUGGCAUAUUGUCUAUUGGAAUGAUUUUGGCUUAGGUUGUCAGAGGUCUCUAAUUCGGUUUGGCAUUCUAUGAAUGCCAUGUUGAGUACUUGAAUUCCAAUUUGGUUUAACAAGCUGCCGGAUUUUCAAUGGUUUUAACGAUCUCAUUUUUUUAAUUGUCAAUUAUACAGAUGAGGAUGAAUUUAUAUACUAUAAUCCAACACUUGAUCUGAGGAAUUUGUUUCCCUUGAUGUUAAAUAGUAAAUUUCUGAAUCUGUUAUCUAAGUUUGACGUUUGGGUUUGAUUUUUUUUUUUUUUGCUUAUUUUUGAUUGAGUUUUUUCUUUUGGUUUAAAGAUUGGUUUUAUUUAUUUUUUUCUUUUGGUUUAAAGAUUGGCUUUAUCUGUGUCAUCUAGUGAUGAAAUUGAAAGUUAUAAUCUUAGGACACCUUCCUACACAGCGUAAGCCAAUGCUGUGAAUGAGAAAAACAUUUCUAUUCUGAUGAUGACCUUCUGUGUACAAAUGUCUCAAUUAACGAAGAGAACUAUAAGGUUAUGAUGGUAUUGUUGCGUCUUUUUGACACUGAAAGUGUACUUUCAUGUACUUUCCUUAUGAUGGAACAAUUAGUCGUUUAUGUACUCUUGCUUAAUGGGUGAUCACUUUUGCUGGCUUGGUGCAAUGAUAGUUGAAUUUUACUUGUACAUAACGGUUUAAACUUAUUAAGCAGUGAUGAGCAGCUAACAUGUAAGAAAAACUCAUGUAGGAAGUGGGAUUUUCAAUGAAAUACUCUUAGGCUUGGCUUCUGAGAUUUAAUUGUGUUAAACUUCCUUUGGCAAGUGAUUUUAGGCUGUGCUGUAGUUUUUCGAUACGUUUGCUUCUUUUGGUUUUAAAAGCAGUGAUGAGCAGCUAACAUGUAAGAAGAUCCCAUGUAGGAAGUGGGAUCUUCUAUGAAAUACUCUUACGCUUGGCUUCUGAGCUUUUGUUGUUUUUGCUUGUUACUGAUAAAAUCUUGUUUCAUUUCAAAUAUAACAUUGGUUUGUUAACUAGAUCAACGAGUAUCUGUUGUUAAGCAGUGAUGAGCAGCUGACUUUUAAGAAGAACCCAUGUAGGAAGUGGGUUUUUCUAUGAAAUAUUCUUACGCUUGGCUUCUGAGCUUAAAUCCGCUCAAUAUGAGAUCUGUUUGUAACCAUAUGAAUCUCUGUGCAGUUUUCUUUUGGUUCAGUCAUUGAAAUCUAAGCCAAACCACUAGCUGGACCUGUACUUAUAGAUAGACUUGGUCAUCAUUUCUCAAUAAUAUUUCCAAUGUCAAUAAAUCAGAUUAAAAUGGCUAAUGAUGAUAAACUCUUUAUCUUAGCGGAUUUCAGUGAGAUUUGUCAAUGAUCUGAAUGUUACACACACUGAAGCCUAAAUCUGUUCUUAUUGACUACUUGAAUUACUUCAAAUAUUUAGGUUUUGUUUGUGCUUCUUCUGAUUGAUUUUUAGUUAAGACUUAAAUGGAGUUGAAUUCUGAUUUUGAUGCAAUGAUGAGUUGAAGCACACGGGAGUGUGUUUAGGGCAGUGGGGAAGACCUAAAAUCUUUGCCGUGAGCCUCUAACAAAAACGACUUCUCCUUCCACUGAGCAUCCUAUUUCUCUUCCUUUUAAGUAUACAAAUCUUCUUUUAAAAAUAAUCAACCUAGAUUUAGUUUUAUUUUUUGAUAUUUAGGAACAGAAACUGAUUCAAAUGGCUCUAUAUCUGAGUCAACAGCAGGUGUCUUUCAAUGUCAAAACCUGACUGCCGCUUAGAGCCAACAUUAACUUUACCAGAGUAAGAUUGCUUGUAACUCACUUAUAUGUUGCUAGCCACAAUAUCUGGCUACAUUUCCAGACCCAAAUAUGUUCCAUAUACUUAGUGCCUCUCUUGGAAAUAUUUGAUCGGAGGAUUACAAUUUUGACAUCUAUUUAUUCAAGUUUUUUUGAUUUGGAGUUUGGAGAUUUGUGUGCCUUUUUAUAAUAUCAGUUUCCAUUUAUUAUCUGCAUGUUGCACCCCGGGCUUCUCCGAAAUAUACAAUGACGAAAAAAGCCCCAAUGCUCAUGCUAAAUUUUUGCCGUUUAGUGUUGCAGGUUCGCUUAGUUCUUCAACAGCUUAUUUGUGUCAAAAUAACUGCCACAUUUCCUUAUUGUUUUAGUAUUUAAAAGUUGCUUACGGUUUUGUCGAUGUCAUGUUCUGGUUUGAUUUGAUUUGAUUCUAUAUCAAAUGUACAAGUAUCAACCGAUCAGAUUAAUAGGCUAAUGACGAUAAACUUUUAUAUCUUAGCGGAUUUCAGUGAGAUUUUAUCAAUGAUCUGAAUGUUACACACACUGAAGUCUAAAUCUUUUCUUAUUGAUAUACUUCCAUAACAUGCUUUGAAAUUAUAUUCUCCCAAGUAUCGAGGUUCUGUUUUGUUUAGAUUAGUAUAAAAUGCCGAUGAUGACUACACAUAGACCUGUAAUGAUUGCGGAGAUGACUGCACAAUUUGAACAUCUAAGGGGCUGAGGCAUUUAUAAGUGGUUCAACAUCUGUUUAGUUAUUUUUUUGGUGGUUUGUUAUCUUUGUUUACAUCAUGUUAUUUGUUUGCGUUCUAGUUGGUUCCACUUUCCAUGUAUUGUCUGCAUGUUGCACCCCGGGCUUCUCCGAAAUAUAUGAUGAUGAAGAAAGCCCCAAUGCUCAUGCUAAAUUUGUGCCGUUUAGUAUUGCAGGUUCACUUAGUUCUUCAUCAGCUUAUUUGUCAAAAUAACUGCCACAUUCCUUGUCUUUGUCUUAGAGAGUAGUUUCAAAUGUUGCUUAGUCAUGUAUUCUGGCUUGGUUUGAUUCUAUCAAUAGAUUAGAUUAAAAGGCUAAUGAUGAUAAAUUUUAUAUCUUAGCGGAUUUCAGUGAGAUUUUAUCAAUGAUCUGAAUGUUACACACACUGAAGCCUAAAUCUUUGCUUAUUGAUCUACUUCCUGAAAUUGCUUCAAGAUUAUUUUCCUCCAAAUAUUGAGAUUUUGCCUUGCUAUUUUGUGGUUGCUGUGGUGUCACAUUUGGGCUUGGAUUGUUUUUGCGAGGAUAAUUAAGAUGGAAGUGAUGAUCCUUUCCCCAGCCCAUCGACUAAGAUUAGAAUGUGCGUUUUGUUUAAAUCUCUUUUUCAACAGAAGAGGUUUGUUAUCUAUUUCUUACAAAAGCUUCUAUUUGCUUAUAUGGCUUCUUUUACUGUUAGCCAUGUGAGUUUGAUCUCUUUCACUGUUUUGUUAAUGAUGAUAAAUCUAAGGCUUGUUUCUCAAGAACAUUCGCAGUUGCCGACUAAGAGCUUUCGCCUUUCGCCGGGCUUGAGAGCUAAUGCUGCUUUAUUCCUUCCUUGGAUGUCUGAAACAUCUUUUACGAACGUUACUUUGUAUAUUCUUUAAGCAUGAUUGGCUUCUUUUAAUUUUGUUUGGUAUCUAAUCCUGCCUUUUUCUACAACUAGGAGAGUCUGGAUGAAGGAAAUACUUUAUUUAUGUUUUACUCCAUAGUUUUUCUGUUUUUCUAGACUGUAAUUCUUUAUCAUUGGAUCAGACUGGCUAUUUUA